rnacentral:rRNA from 1 species
GAGCGCAACCCUCGUUCUAUGUUGCCAGCACGUGAUGGUGGGGACUCAUAGGAGACUGCCGGGGUCAACUCGGAGGAAGGUGGGGAUGACGUCAAAUCAUCAUGCCCCUUACGUCUUGGGCUUCACGCAUGCUACAAUGGCCAGUACAAAGGGCUGCGAUACCGUAAGGUGGAGCGAAUCCCAAAAAGCUGGUCUCAGUUCGGAUUGGGGUCUGCAACUCGACCCCAUGAAGUCGGAGUCGCUAGUAAUCGCAGAUCAGCAACGCUGCGGUGAAUACGUUCCCGGGCCUUGCACACACCGCCCGU